rnacentral:rRNA from 1 species
GUACGCUGGCGGCACGCCUAAUACAUGCAAGUCGAACGAAGUAGCAAUACUUAGUGGCAGACGGGUGAGUAACAUGUGGGUAUCUUCCCUUUGGUGAGGAAUAACACGAGGAAACUUGUGCUAAUACCUCAUAAGUCUUUACGGAGAAAGCUUUAUGCGCCAUUGGAUGAGCCUGCACUUGAUUAGUUUGUUGGUGGGGUAAUGGCCUACCAAGACUUUGAUCAAUAGCUGAUUUGAGAGGAUGAUCAGCCACAUUGGGACUGAGACACAGCC